rnacentral:piRNA from 1 species
UUUGCAUUUUGUUUUGCUCUGUGUA